UUCCGUGACAACACCAUGGUUGACAAAGUAUCUCCAUGCGUAGAUAGUAUACCCUCCAUCACAACCAUCUCCGCACAUAAAUCCACAGCAUGCCAAGAGAUCAUUGACAGACAAAGAUAUGUUCUGCAGUAAAAUAAAAUCUCGUUUGUAAUGGACAUUAUAAGUAGUCAACUUGCUCAAGAUAUUCAGUUACCAAGCCAAAAUGGAUGCAAAAGCGAUCAGAUAGUGAUUCAACAGCACCAAACGCCCAACAAGAUCCACAAUGACCCUGGAAUAUAAAACACAGAUGUGUUGAGAACAUGUAGAGCACACUUGAAAAAGAAAAAAAAAGAACAAGAAAAAGAAGACAACAAGAUCUACCUGAUCUUUUAUUAGAAAUUGACCCAGCAUUUUGCCACAUGAUGAGGAAAGCAUCAGCACCUUGAUAAAAGGAAAAAAAAUUCGAGAAAAAAAAAAAGUACAGAACCAAGUAAGCAACUGACCUAGAAUUCUUCCAAUGGUGCUACAUUGUGGCCAAGCUUUUCUUGCAUCAAAUUCUUUCGGCAAUUUCAAGGAUUUUAGACGACCUAUAACAGGAACACCCCUCAAUUCCUUUUUGGGAGUUGGCUUGGCUCC
rnacentral:lncRNA from 1 species